rnacentral:rRNA from 1 species
GACGAACGCUGGCGGCGUGCCUAAUACAUGCAAGUAGAACGCCGAAGGAGGAGCUUGCUUCUCCGGAUGAAUUGCGAACGGGUGAGUAACGCGUAGGUAACCUGCCUGGUAGCGGGGGAUAACUAUUGGAAACGAUAGCUAAUACCGCAUAAGAGUAGAUGUUGCAUGACAUUUGCUUAAAAGGUGCAAUUGCAUCACUACCAGAUGGACCUGCGUUGUAUUAGCUAGUUGGUGGGGUAACGGCUCACCAAGGCGACGAUACAUAGCCGACCUGAGAGGGUGAUCGGCCACACUGGGACUGAGACACGGCCCAGACUCCUACGGGAGGCAGCAGUAGGGAAUCUUCGGCAAUGGACGGAAGUCUGACCGAGCAACGCCGCGUGAGUGAAGAAGGUUUUCGGAUCGUAAAGCUCUGUUGUAAGAGAAGAACGAGUGUGAGAGUGGAAAGUUCACACUGUGACGGUAUCUUACCAGAAAGGGACGGCUAACUACGUGC